UUUAGGUGGUCCACUUGCAGUCUAUCCUGGAUGAGCAUGCCCAUGCCAGGUGCUGUUGCUGCCCUAGGCAUGGCAAGGAACAGAGGAGAGCAGGUAUCUUCUGGGCAGCCUCCGGAGUCAAAUCAAAUUUGAGGUACCCUGAGGAGGUUUGUAGCCCAAGUUUGGAAACGGCAGCACCGAAGCACACGCGGAGAACAUCUCGAUGUCCACGUCCAACCAACAAUGGAUUUUGUCAGCUCAAUUUCCAAAAGCUAAG